UACGAAGGGGGCUAGCGUUGCUCGGAAUUACUGGGCGUAAAGCGCACGUAGGCGGUUUGUUAAGUCGGGGGUGAAAUCCUGGAGCUCAACUCCAGAACUGCCUUCGAAACUGGCGAUCUUGAGUCCGGGAGAGGUGAGUGGAACUGCGAGUGUAGAGGUGAAAUUCGUAGAUAUUCGCAAGAACACCAGUGGCGAAGGCGGCUCACUGGCCCGGUACUGACGCUGAGGUGCGAAAGCGUGGGGAGCAAACAGG
rnacentral:rRNA from 1 species